CAAUAGCGUAUAUUAAAGUUGUUGCAGUUAAAAAGCUCGUAGUUGGAUUUCUGGAUGGAGCGACCGGUCGGGCAUUAAUUUGUCUGCACUGGAGUCGGUUCCGUCCAUCCUCUUGGAAAGUGCGUCGGGCAUUAAGUUGUUUGGCGUAUGAUCCAAGUCGUUUACUGUGAAAAAAUUAGAGUGUUUAAAGCAGGCCUUCGCCUUGAAUACAUUAGCAUGGAAUAAUAAGAUAGGACGUUGGUCUAUUUUGUUGGUUUGCAGACCGAAGUAAUGAUUAAUAGGGAUAGUUGGGGGUAUUUAUAUUCCGAUGUCAGAGGUGAAAUUCUUAGAUUUUCGGAAGAUAAACUUAUGCGAAAGCAUUUACCAAGGAUGUUUUCAUUAA
rnacentral:rRNA from 1 species